rnacentral:rRNA from 1 species
GAUGAACGCUGGCGGCGUGCCUAAUACAUGCAAGUCGAGCGAACGGACGAGAAGCUUGCUUCUCUGAUGUUAGCGGCGGACGGGUGAGUAACACGUGGAUAACCUACCUAUAAGACUGGGAUAACUUCGGGAAACCGGAGCUAAUACCGGAUAAUAUUUUGAACCGCAUGGUUCAAAAGUGAAAGACGGUCUUGCUGUCACUUAUAGAUGGAUCCGCGCUGCAUUAGCUAGUUGGUAAUGUAACGGCUUACCAAGGCAACGAUGCAUAGCCGACCUGAGAGGGUGAUCGGCCACACUGGAACUGAGACACGGACCUGACUACUACGGGAGGGAGCAGUAGGGAAUCUUACGCAAUGGACGAAAGCCUGACGGAGCGGCGCCGCGUGAGUGAUGAAGGGCUUCGGAUCGUAAAACUCUGUUAUUAGGGAAGAACAUAUGUGUAAGUAACUGUGCACAUCUUGACGGUACCUAAUCAGAAAGCCACGGCUAACUACGUG